GAUAAGCAUUACGGGCAAUAAAAUGUGAAAUAUUAUAUCAUUGGGUCGGUUUUCUUUUCUACCAUUUUCCUUGGUUUACCCUUGACCCAUUGUCAAGCAGAUCCACCAGGCCUGAAUGUAGAAGAAGAAAAACACAGACAAACGACUUACAACUGGCAGUCACGGAUGCUAAGUCGCCCGGGCACAAAGCACAAGCGUUGCAGUAUAAAUAAUGUUCUAGAUUAUGUAAGGGCUCGCGUGGUCUCGCAGAAGUAGCUGCUGGUGUAAAUCACCAUGACCAAGUACACGAAAUCAGAACGAUUUCAGCUUCAAGCACCCCCUCGUCUACAUCCAUAUCAACCGAUCCAGCCCGAAAGUACGGAACUCAAGAUCCGACUAACAGGAAUAACAUAAGUUGUAAUUUUUGUGGGAAGGUAGCUAAAGGAGGCGUUUAUAGGCUGAAACAGCAUUUCGUAGGAGGUUUUAGGAAUGUAACUGUAUGUUUAAGAUGCCCGGAGCACGUACGUGAGGAGAUGAAGAUAUACAUGCAGAAAAAAAAAUGUCAAAAGUCGAAAACGUCAUGAACUCAAGGAUUCGAGUUAACGAGUAUGAUCUUGAUGACAAUGAGGAAGAUUGUAGUGAAGCAGGCUGUAGUAAGUUGCCUCAACAUAAAAAAACAAGGGUAAAAGGUUUUAUGGAUA